AAGUCGUAACAAGGUCUCCGUUGGUGAACCAGCGGAGGGAUCAUUAAAAAGAGAGUCUUCUCGGCUCCCAAACCCUUUGUGAACCUAUAUCUAUGAUACCAGUUGCUUCGGCAGGCGGCCACGCCCCCCCCCCUCGAAAGGGGCGGGGGCGGGGUCCGGGGGGCCCGUGUCUAGGCGGGCGCCUGCCGUGCGGCGCAAACCAAACUCUUUGUUACAUUGCAGUGGACCUCUGAGUUAAAAAAAACAAUCAGUUAAAACUUUCAACAACGGAUCUCUUGGUUCUG
rnacentral:misc_RNA from 1 species